CCCCCGCCCGCCCCCUGCACCGCCGCGCGCCCCGCGCCGGCCUGGCCUGGGGUCGUCCCCGCCGCCCCCUGCUGCCUUCAGAGAGAGGAUCCUGGCGGGCCGAGACACAAAGUCGGGAGACCUGUCGAUUCCGCCCGGGCCACACCUGCGGCCGCUCUCUUGGCCUCUCUGGGCCCAAGCUCCCUCCUCUACAAAUAAAGCGGUUCCAGAAAGAACCUUUAGAGCCUCCCCUCAGAUUUGAAAUGCUGUGUGCCAACUGUUUCCCAAGGGCUGCUGAAAGGAAAGCGAGGUCUUGGCAUCCCCUCUUUGAAGCCCAGGAUGCACGGGAUUCAUCUCAAACUGGGGCUAUUGCUGUGUGUCAGACAGGUGACAUUCUGGACCAGGUAAGCCACCCUGCAAAUAUAAGGGAUUCUCUCCUUUCUGUGAUCCUUCAAGAUGAUGAUUAAAGGCUGGGCCUCAGGUCAGACAACUGUUAGGUUCCAAUCUGGGCUUUGCAUCUGACCAGCUUUGUGCUGGCUAGCUACUUAGGCCUGAAGCUUCAGGGUCCUACCUACAGAAUCGAGGUAUCAGCUACCUUGAAUAAUGUACGGAUUAACUGUGGUGGUGCAUGCAUGUAGUAAAUGCUUAGUAGACAGAAAUUAUAAUUAUUAUAGGCCCAGAUAAUCUGAAGAGAUUGGAUUAUUUCUUUCUCCACAGCAACCUACAAAGUACAACUUUGUAACUCAGUGAAGGGCCCCACGUUUGGUUUUCUGAGAGUAGGCUUAGACCUGGUAACAAAGUGAGCUGUCUUCAUUCCAUUUCUUUCCUCUCCCCUCCUUUUCCUUCGCAAAAGGAGGGGAGAGGAAAGGUCAUGUUCUUGUUUUAAAAAAUGUUCCUUUCCAGCGGCCAAGCUGCCAGAAGUAAGCCAGGGCCUUUUAACAAUGCUCGUCCCCGCCAGCACCCGCAGUGGGGCCGGCACCCAGAGUGGAAAAUGGAACAGUGAGAGGCAGGUGCAGCCCCCAGAGCUCCCGGGGUGGCAUCCCGCUGUGUGGGCGCCUGCUGCCCGCGCUGUGUCUUCACCUCCUUGAGCUGCUGGUUCGUCUCUGUGUCCCCCCGUCGUGUCCAGGGGGAAUGUUCAAUACCUGCUGUUUGUUGACCACACAGAAGUGACAGCGGCACCAUCAAGAGAACACGCGCUUUUGGCUCCUUUUCCAAGAAUGGCAGUGGAUUUGCUUUGAUCCAUUCAUGUGACCGGGGGCACACUUGGUGAGGGUCAGGGAGGUAAUACAUGACCGCUGAGUGCUUCAAGAGGGAACAAGGGCCCUUGGCCUCCUGGGCAGCCCAAUCCUUACUUAACCCAGCCGAAUUAGGGCCCAAAUGAGCCCAAGACUGUUCAGGGAAGCUGGAAAGAGUAUGAGGGAAGAAAAAGCAGAAGAAAGUCCUUCAGGUGGUUCACCCGCAGACACCCAGACUGUCCUUUCAGAGAAGUUAGAAGUGGAACGGCUGCUCCAUCCAGUUUGACUUUUCUGUGGCUGUUGCCCUUUGUUCUCUUUCCCGUCUUCCCUAAAUUGCCCCCCCCCACCCCCACUCUCCACCCCCUCCGUAAAAAGCCAGAGAGUACUUGAACUCCUGAACUCCUGGUCUCCUGGUCCACCCAGGAUCAAAGCUGACGGGCUUCUGUACUAUUACAUGUGCUUUGAAGUCGGGUUUUUCUCUGUAUCCAAGGGUGGGUGGAGUGGGAGGGCAGUAUCACAGGUAACAACUUUGUUCCAAAUCUGCAGAAAAGCCCGGGACUGAAAAAAAAGCAUUUCUUCAAUGUUUUUCUGCUGCCUGAAAUAAAGGCCUUGUUUUGGGUGGCCUUUGCCUGUGAGUUCUUCUGAGUUUCUUUCUCUCUUUUUUAAAGGACACAUUCUCACUCUGCAGGUCACAAGCCCUUCACUGAGUGGUCCGAGCGUGCCUCCCCGGGCUUGUGUGGUUGCCUUCCCUCGUUAGAGACACAAUUUGGGGUAAGGCUCAAACAUACCCAGAUCUUCAACCAGAACACGCAGUUUGGGAAGUGGAAUUUUUCCUCUAUUUGAAUGAUUUCAAUAGACAUUCAGCAAAAGCCUUGACUCGCUAAAGAGACAAAGCUGAGACCCAGGCUUGAGGAACACCCUGCAAACCCAACCCAGAAUUAUAAACUUAAAAAAUUUUUUUAAUAAGCCAAUACCAAUUCUUUCCUAAAGAAUAGACCAUUGUAUAAUCUUCACACACAACAAAAAUGAAACAAAAGGGAGAAAAUGAAACAGCCUUGGAAGUCGAUGUCAUGACUCUUAAGCCUAAUUUUGGGAAGAAGCUGCAGUUGCUGAGUUUUCAAAUUUCAUGCAACAUAAUUAAAGAAGGAAAGACCAGAUUUUACAAUUCAUUACCUAACACUGACCCAGAGAAAUUGUUUUUUAUGUCCUUUCUCAUGGUUUGAUAUUCUUAAGCUCAGGUUAGCAAAUUAGAAGUUCAAGUAUUUUUCUUCAGUCUGACUUCUGUUGAAGGCCCCUUGAAAUCAUCCAGAUAGGUGGAGCAUUCCACGUCCCAGCCUGCACCUUAGGACUGAAGGUUUGGGUCUGAGCCCUGCCCCCAAGUCUUGUCUCUACUAGGAAACUGCUUGGAUGGUUGGGAAGAAUUAAAUCCAUCUUAUCUAACAACAUGGGAAAAUCAGUCCUACUGAGAGAAUUACAGCCGUGCAAUUCUAGAAUUCAUUUCACAUCAUUCUGUCUUAGCAGUGAGGAAGCCGAGGCCUUGAUCACUUGCCGCAUCUUACUGGAAUCACCUUCGUGCAGUAUUUCACAGCCCAGUGUGCUUCCAAGGUGUAACUCCCUCGAGAGCCCUUUUCUGUUUCCCUUCCUUCAGCCUUCUUGGCCUGUGGAUGGUGCCUUCCUGGGCCACCACCUUGAAAACUCUGAAAUCCCUACUGGACCCACGAAGGGAAGUACCCAGGGCAGGGGGCCCCCCAGUUUACCACGGAAUCCUGUAUCAUGGUUUACCCAGUGCCUCACGUACAGCGGACGUUCAAGGUAUUCUUUGUGAAUAGCUAGAUUACCAGGGGAAAAAAAAUGGCUGUAUGACAGGUUCUCUUUAAAGGACUCUUUGGAGCUCAUUCUGCAUAUUCAAUCUGUCUCAUUGUUUUGUGA